rnacentral:rRNA from 1 species
UGGCGAACGGGUGAGUAACACGUGGGUGAUCUGCAUUGCACUUCGGGAUAAGCCUGGGAAACUGGGUCUAAUACCGGAUAGGACCAUGCUUUAGUGUGUGUGGUGGAAAGUUUUUCGGUGCAAGAUGAGCCCGCGGCCUAUCAGCUUGUUGGUGGGGUAAUGGCCUACCAAGGCGACGACGGGUAGCCGGCCUGAGAGGGUGUACGGCCACAUUGGGACUGAGACACGGCCCAG